UUCAAUAAAAUCUUGAACUAUAAAAUAGGGUAUUUGAGAAAAUGAAUUAGGGAAAAUAUAAUUAAUAAUAAUACAAACGAUGGAGGCUUCAAAUAUCUAAUAUCUUGACUAUUGUGGAAUCUUGAAUUGAAGAAUGGAUUUUGACUUCUUUCUUGCUGGAUGUGGAAGAAAGAAGAAUAAAUUUUGAUAAGUUUUCUCUCUCCCACUAUUCACGUAAAAGACAAUAAUUAAUUAGUAAUCGAUUGUUAAUAUUGUAUUUGAAAUUUGAUGUUAAAUAAUUUAAUAUAACCUGAUUUAAGAAAGAUUAAA
rnacentral:lncRNA from 1 species